GACGAACGCUGGCGGCGUGCUUAACACAUGCAAGUCGAACGGAAAGGCCCUGCUUUUGUGGGGUGCUCGAGUGGCGAACGGGUGAGUAACACGUGAGUAACCUGCCCUUGACUUUGGGAUAACUUCAGGAAACUGGGGCUAAUACCGGAUAGGAGCUCCUGCUGCAUGGUGGGGGUUGGAAAGUUUCGGCGGUUGGGGAUGGACUCGCGGCUUAUCAGCUUGUUGGUGGGGUAGUGGCUUACCAAGGCUUUGACGGGUAGCCGGCCUGAGAGGGUGACCGGCCACAUUGGGACUGAGAUACGGCCCAGAAUGCUACGGGAGGCAGCAGUGGGGAAUAUUGCACAAUGGGCGGAAGCCUGAUGAAGAAACGCCGCGUGCGGGAUGACGGCCUUCGGGUUGUAAACCGAUUUCGCCUGUGACGAAGAGUGAGUGACGGUAAUGGGUAAAGAAGCACCGGCUAACUACGUG
rnacentral:rRNA from 1 species